rnacentral:rRNA from 1 species
CGCUAUCACUCCUACGGGAGGCAGCAGUGGGGAAUUUUGGACAAUGGGGGGCAACCCUGAUCCAGCAAUGCCGCGUGUGUGAAGAAGGCCUUCGGGGUUGUAAAGCACUUUGUCCGGAAAGAAACGUUCUGGUUAAUACCUGGGGCGGAUGACGGUACCGGAAGAAUAAGCACCGGCUAACUACGUGCCAGCAGCCGCGGUAAUACGUAGGGUGCGAGCGUUAAUCGGAAUUACUGGGCGUAAAGCGUGCGCAGGCGGUUUGUAAGACAGGCGUGAAAUACCCCGGGCUUAACCUGGGAAUUGCGCUUGUGACUGCAAGGCUAGAGUGCGUCAGAGGGGGGUAGGAAUUCCACGUGUAGCAGUGAAAUGCGUAGAGAUGUGGAGGAAUACCGAUGGCGAAGGCAGCCCCCUCGGGACGUGACUGACGCUCAUGCACGAAAGCGUGGGGAGCAAACAGGAUUAGAUACCCUGGUAG